rnacentral:tRNA from 1 species
AAAAGUUUUAAGUUAAAUCAAACUAAUAAUCUUCAAAAUUAUAUAUAAAUAAAUUUUAUUUAAACUUU